AACCAGCUCUUCAAGUGGUCGGGAUGAUUAUUGGGCUUAAAGUGUCCGUAGCCGGUUUAGUAAGUUCCUGGUAAAAUCAGGUAGCUUAACUAUCUGUAUGCUAGGAAUACUGCUAUACUAGAGGGCGGGAGAGGUCUGAGGUACUAUAGGGGUAGGGGUGAAAUCUUAUAAUCCUUGUAGGACCACCAGUGGCGAAGGCGUCAGACUGGAACGUGCCUGACGGUGAGGGACGAAAGCCAGGGGAGCGAACCGGAUUAGAUACCCGGGUAGUCCUGGCCGUAAACGAUGCAUACUAGGUGAUGGCCCGGCCAUGAGCCGUGUCAGUGCCGUAGGGAAACCGUUAAGUGUGCCGCCUGGGAAGUACGGUCGCAAGGCUAAAACUUAAAGGAAUUGGCGGGGAGCACCACAAGGGGUGAAGCCUGCGGUUC
rnacentral:rRNA from 1 species